rnacentral:rRNA from 1 species
UUUCAGGACCCCUUCCCACUCAUAACAACUGAGGACCAGAAAGCUGAGCAGGGUCGAGCCUGGUUAGUACUUGGAUGGGAGACCACCUAGGAAGACCAGGUGCUGUAGGCG